AUACCAGCUCUCCGAGUGGUAGGGAUGAUUAUUGGGCUUAAAGCGUCCGUAGCCGGCUUAGCAAGUUUCCUGUUAAACCCAGCGACUCAAUCGUUGGAUCGCGGGAAAUACUACUAGGCUAGGAGGCGGGAGAGGUCAACGGUACUUCUGGGGUAGGGGUGAAAUCCUAUAAUCCCGGGAGGACCACCAGUGGCGAAGGCUGUUGACUAGAACGCGCUCGACGGUGAGGGACGAAAGCUGGGGGAGCGAACCGGAUUAGAUACCCGGGUAGUCCCAGCUGUAAACGAUGCGAGCUAGGUGUUGGAAUGGCUACGGGCCAUUUCAGUGCCGCAGGGAAGCCAUUAAGCGCGCCGCCUGGGGAGUACGGCCGCAAGGCUGAA
rnacentral:rRNA from 1 species